UACGUAGGGCGCAAGCGUUGUCCGGAAUUAUUGGGCGUAAAGAGCUCGUAGGCGGUUUGUCGCGUCUGCUGUGAAAACUCGGGGCUUAACUCUGAGCUUGCAGUGGGUACGGGCAGACUAGAGUGCGGUAGGGGAGACUGGAAUUCCUGGUGUAGCGGUGAAAUGCGCAGAUAUCAGGAGGAACACCGGUGGCGAAGGCGGGUCUCUGGGCCGUAACUGGACGCUGGAGGAGCGGAAAAGCAUGGGGAGCGAACAGG
rnacentral:rRNA from 1 species